CGGAAACCAGGUGCCACAACGCAGCUCUUCCGUCGACCCCCGCAACCCCAGCCCACGCAUGCGCAAGUGCUAGUCUAGACAACCCGCCAUAGAGCUGAGCAAUCCUCCCAGAUUCCUAGAGUGGACGAAGCGGUGACCGAAUCGCCGCGUCAGGCUUGACAGCUCCUGGAGAACACGUUGAGAGGGUGUUUCUCGUGGUCUAGUCUCAGAAACUCCAUCUCCAGUCUCCACAAUGAUUCCCUUCCAAGCCCACUGGUACCCAGCUGCAUCCAAGUAUCAAACCCCUACGUGGACAAGAAAAGCUUCCUGAGCAAGUGGUUCAUAAUUCUCCAGUUGCUCCCUGAGGUGCCCAAUGUUUGGUUGCAGCCCCAGUUCAAUUGUGAAUCUCAAGAACACCAGCUUGUCAGAUGGUGAGACUAGGACCAAGGUUGGAGAAAUGUCUUCAGAAGAGGAGAUUACAGGAAAAAUUGAACCAUUCCCUGAAGAGUCUGGGAACCCCAGUGACAGUGUUCUCCAGGAUUCUGAUUAUGAAGAAUUCUAUGAAUUUGGGGAUAAAGUAAAUGAAAAGGACCAGAAGCUUUUUAAAAGAAGAAAGCAUAACUAUGAAGAAUGUGGGCAAAGCUUUGCUUGGCUUACAGGCCUUGUUAGACAUCAACACACCCAUUGUGGAAAGGCCUAUGAAUGUGGUAAUGUGGCAAGGCCUUUAUUGUGAACUCAGCCCUGGUUUUACAUCAGAGGAUUCAUACUGGAAAGAAAUUCUACCCUUGUAAUUGGUAUAUUAAAAGUUUUGGUCAGAGUUCAGACUUUAUCAACGAGUCCACACUGGUGAAAAACCUUGUAAGUGUAAUGAAUGUGGAAAAUCUUUCAGAGUUCAGAUAUUAUACACCAGAGAAUACACACUGGGGAAAAACCACAUCCAUGUAAUCAGUCUAGCAAAAGUUUCAGUCAGAACUCAGAUCUCAUUAAACAUCGAAGGAUUCAUACUGGAGAGAAACCUUGUAAGUGUAAUGAAUGUGGUAAAGCUUUUAAUCAGAGCUCAGUCUUUAUUCUACAUCAGAGAAUUCACACUGGAGAAUUCUCCAGUGUAGCCAGUGUAGCAAAACAUUCCCAUGUAGCCAGUGUAGCAAAACCUUCAGUAGACUUUCAGAUCUUACUAAUCAUCAACAAGUUCACAAUGGAGAGAAGCCUUAUCCAUGUAAGCAGUGCAAUCAAAUGUUUAGUCAAAGUUCAGAUCUCAUUAAAUAUCAUAGAAUUCAUAUAGGUGAGAAACCCUAUGAAUGCAGCGAUUGUGGGAAAACCUUUAGUCAGAGCUCAAACCUUAUUCUACAUCAGAGAAUUCACGCUAGAGAGAAAUCCUAUCCAUGCUGUUCUUAUACUAAAAUCUUUAGUCGUAGUUCAGAUCUUGUUAAACAUUGAAGAAUACAUACUGGAGAGAGGCCAUAUACAUAUAUAAUCAGUGUAAUAAAAGUUUUAGUCAAAACUUAGACCUCACCAAACAUCAGAAAGUACACUCUGGAGAAAAGCCCUAUCAUUGUGGUAGUUGUGAGAAAGACUUCAGUCAAAGUUCUGACCUUAGUCUUCAUCAAAGAUUUCACACUGGAGAAAAACCAUAUCCCUGUACGCAAUGCAACAAAAGAUUCAGUCAGAAUUCAGAACUUAUCAAACACCAGAGGACCCACACUGGAGAAAAACCAUAUAAAUGUAAUGAGUGUGGGAAAGCUUUUAGUGCUUAGCUGUUAGAUCAGAGGAUCCACACUGGGGAGAAACCAUAUCCAUGUAAUCAAUGUGUCAAAAGCUUUAGUUGAUGCUUUGAUCUCAUUAACCAUCAGAAAAGUCACAGUAGUGAAAAAUCACAUAAAUGUAAUGCAUAUGGUGAAGCCUUCAGUAUACAUACUGACCUUAUUGAACACGAGAGAAUCCACAUUGGGAGGAACCUCACAUGUGUGUUCAGCAUGACAGAAGUUUUAGCUAGCUCUUUUCUCAUUAGUCACAAGAAAAUUCAUUUCAGGCAAGUCUAAAUACAAUGAAUGUGGGAAAACCUUUAGUGUAUUUGCCAACUUUAUUCAGUACCAGAGACACUAUAACAACAACAACAAAACUUAUGACUAUUAUCGAUGAUUAUGGAAAAGUUUAACCAGUGUUCAACUCCUGUGCUACAUUAAAAAAAACACUAGAGAGAAAAUAAUUAAUUUCGUAAUGAAGUUUAAAUCAGAGAUCAGAGAAAACCAUGUGUUACUAAACUAGACAAACAUUCUAAGGGGUGUCCUGUGAGUUUUGGGAAAAUCUUUAAUGUGAAUAAAGUCUUUACUGAAUAUCAGAAAUAAUGAAAAGAAAUUCCUAUCUGCUAUUAGAGAAACUACUUUUUUCCCACAAUGGGAGAGUUUUAUCAUUGUAAGAAAUGACUAUGAAUUUAUAAUCUAUCAAAUAUUAUAAAAACAUUGUGAUAGAGUAUGCAAUCAGAACUCAGGACAUAUAAUAGUGUUAUAAUAAAAAUCUUCAGUGAGCCCAAAUUAUUUCAUAUAAAAGAAAUUAUUUUAGAGAAAUUGUGAAAAAUUCAAAUCUCUUUAUAUCUUAAUCAGCAUUGGUUUUGACAUCACAUUCACCUCAUGACAGCUUGAAAGUCCUAUCUUAUGCUAAUUCUAGCUAUUAAAAUAGCCUGUGUGUGAACUUGGUACCUCCUUCUGGUGUUAAACUUAUUAACCUAACUCCAGUGCCCCAUCUUUUCCAAACUUUUUUUGGAGGGGCUAGUGUUAGUUUUCCCAAUAUUCACCAGUUUUCAGGUUCCUGUGAUGUUCAUAGCGAAUAUGGAUUCAUUUUGCUCUCAAUAACACAGUUUUCAAGCUUUCAUGGUUUGAAAUCAUAUCUUCAGCAUUACCAUUCAACAGCUUUCAAAGAUGUGAAAAAUAAUUGAAAAAUUUUGCAUACCAAAGUGAAGAUUCCCAUACUAUAUGUAUCUUGUCAUCUAUGCAUCAACAAUAAUGAUAGUUAAAUGCUCAAAUACUCAAAUGACUGCUUUGUACAGUACAUUCUAUCUAUCUGAAAACAUAAAGACCUAUUGAUCUGCUUUCUCAAGUGGGGAGAUUCACUAAACUCUCUUGUUUGUUAAUUUCUUGACAUACAACAUUGAUUAUAGACUAUAUAUAUAUGUGUGUG